rnacentral:rRNA from 1 species
UGCCUUAGUAACUGCGAGUGAAGCGGCAAAAGCUCAAAUUUGAAAUCUGGCGUCACUGGCGUCCGAGUUGUAAUUUGGAGAGAUGACUUCGGUGCUGCCGGCCGUCCCAAGUUCCUUGGAACAGGACGUCACAGAGGGUGAGAAUCCCGUGUCUGGUCGGUUGGCGUGUGCCAUGUGAAGUCUCUUCGACGAGUCGAGUUGUUUGGGAAUGCAGCUCAAAAUGGGUGGUAAAUUUCAUCUAAAGCUAAAUAUUGGCGAGAGACCGAUAGCGCACAAGUAGAGUGAUCGAAAGAUGAAAAGCACUUUGAAAAGAGAGUCAAAAAGUACGUGAAAUUGUUGAAAGGGAAGCGCUUGAGAUCAGACUCGACUGUCGGUGAUCAGCAGUCCUUCUGGGCUGUGCACUGGCCGACUGUCGGACCAGCAUCGGUUGUGGCGGCGGGAGAAAGGCUUGGGGAAUGUGGCAGACUUCGGUCUGUGUUAUAGCCCCUUGUGCAAUGCCGCCUGCCGCGACCGAGGUCCGCGCGUAAGCUAGGAUGCUGGUGAAAUGGUCUUCAGCGACCCGUCUUGAAACACGGACCAAGGAGUCUAACAUCUAUGCGAGUGUUUGGGUGUAAAACCCUUGCGCGUAAUGAAAGUGAACGUAGGUGGGAACCCGCAAGGGAGCACCAUCGACCGAUCCUGAUGUCUUCGGACGGAUUUGAGUAAGAGCAUAGCUGUUGGGACCCGAAAGAUGGUGAACUAUGCCUGAAUAGGGUGAAGCCAGAGGAAACUCUGGUGGAGGCUCGCAGCGGUUCUGACGUGCAAAUCGAUCGUCAAAUUUGGGUAUAGGGGCGAAAGACUAAUCGAACCAUCUAGUA